rnacentral:rRNA from 1 species
AGAGUUUGAUCCUGGCUCAGGAUGAACGCUAGCGACAGGCCUAACACAUGCAAGUCGAGGGGCAGCGGAGAGGUAGCAAUACCUUUGCCGGCGACCGGCGCACGGGUGAGUAACACGUAUGCAAUCCACCUGUAACAGGGGGAUAACCCGGAGAAAUCCGGACUAAUACCCCAUAAUAUGGGCGCUCCGCAUGGAGAGCCCAUUAAAGAGAGCAAUUUUGGUUACAGACGAGCAUGCGCUCCAUUAGCCAGUUGGCGGGGUAACGGCCCACCAAAGCGACGAUGGAUAGGGGUUCUGAGAGGAAGGUCCCCCACAUUGGAACUGAGACACGGUCCAAACUCCUACGGGAGGCAGCAGUGAGGAAUAUUGGUCAAUGGUCGGCAGACUGAACCAGCCAAGUCGCGUGAGGGAAGACGGCCCUACGGGUUGUAAACCUCUUUUGUCGGAGAGUAAAGUACGCUACGUGUAGCGUAUUGCAAGUAUCCGAAGAAAAAGCAUCGGCUAACUCCGUGCCAGCAGCCGCGGUAAUACGGAGGAUGCGAGCGUUAUCCGGAUUUAUUGGGUUUAAAGGGUGCGUAGGCGGCACGCCAAGUCAGCGGUGAAAUUUCCGGGCUCAACCCGGAGUGUGCCGUUGAAACUGGCGAGCUAGAGUACACAAGAGGCAGGCGGAAUGCGUGGUGUAGCGGUGAAAUGCAUAGAUAUCACGCAGAACCCCGAUUGCGAAGGCAGCCUGCUAGGGUGAAACAGACGCUGAGGCACGAAAGCGUGGGUAUCGAACAGGAUUAGAUACCCUGGUAGUCCACGCAGUAAACGAUGAAUACUAACUGUUUGCGAUACAAUGUAAGCGGUACAGCGAAAGCGUUAAGUAUUCCACCUGGGGAGUACGCCGGCAACGGUGAAACUCAA